GGUUCCAGCAAAUAAACAAGUUUCCAUAAAGGCUCCAUGUCUGACAAUGUCCAAAACUUUGUAUCUCAAAGUUGUCUUGAAACUCAAAAGCCACUUGGAUCAAUCACCAUCCAAAAUUUUCUGUAGAGCAACUAUAUCCAAAAUAAUCAAAACGAACGAAAAUAAAAAAAUAAGGGAUGCACUUUUUUAUCUGAUGAACAUUCAACCAGAUAAAUAUACGCAACCUGGAAAAACUAAAACAAAAAAUUAGGAUAAAAACAGUUAAACCAAUUCAAUAAAAU
rnacentral:lncRNA from 1 species